CCACCCAUGAUUACCCCCACUUCCUCCCAUCAACAAAAUUAACCCACCAAACAACCUCCUGAGAGAAAGGAUGAAGAAGCCGGAUGUGAGCUAUGCUCAUGGACAACUGAAUAUCCAGAAAGGUUAAUUACCAUACAAAAAAAAAUCUAAAAGUGGAUAAAGAAAGAUGUUGUCCAACUGGAGGAAUAAAGACAAAGCAGGGAUCUUUACAUCUGAAAAUGGGUUUUUGUGAUUUUGGUUGAUUCGGAGGAAGGGAAGUUCUUUAUCUUCUGUGUUUUUCCGGAAGAGAAUCUUAUGUUUGAUUGUAAAAUCAAUUUUAGGUCAACUAGAAUUGAGUGUUCUAUAUUGUUUGAUUGUUCAUCAAUUUGUAGAUGGUCACUUCUCUUUUUCUAAGGAAAACAAAAACACUCUUUCGUUGAUACUAAUUUUGUUAUUAUCGAGGAAAUUGAUUUGUUUGUAACCAAAGUUUAGAUUUUACUCAUUUCUGAUUCUAGGUUUUCCUCAAGAUGAAAAAAGCUGAUGUCAACCUACAAUAGACAAACAGUUCAGUUUCAAAUGAAUGUGGAAUUGGUAUUCCUCAAGAUGAUCUCGAUCAUUUCUAGAAUUCAGAGUUAUGUUAAAUUGAGAUCAUUCUUUGAUUAAUAUAUUGUUUGGAAAAGGAGUCUACUGUGCUGAUAAGGUGAGAAAGAGCGUGAAGUCUCCUUGAAAUAGGUCUAUGAUCUCAAGAAAGCUUCUGUGAGAGAAUUGAUCCUGUAAAUUGUCAUCUAUCUUUAUUUGUGUUCAUGUGUUUCACAUUUACAGGAGUACAUGUAAGCACUCAGUUCUUACAGGCAUGUAUGUGUUUUCACAUGUUUUUGAUGGGAUCUUUGAUUUCUUUCCAAGGUGGAACAAGUGAUGACUUGGAUGUUCCCACCUUUUGUGCUGAAUUUGCAAAGGAACAUGAAGUUUGUCUAUUUUGCUCUUACAGAUCAUGCUGCUUCAGUGAUGGAAUAUCAUUACACAAGGACGCCUUAACAGGGGAGUUUUUUUAGUGAAGCUGCUCUUGCAAAUCAUACUGCUGCGUCAAUCCUUAAAUUUCAUAACCAAAUAUAUAAGAACACUGUCUCCUAAUAGAGAUUCUAAUGCUGAUUUGAACAAUUUUGUUAUACCUCUAGACAACAGUCAUGCUACAGCUGCAACGGGCACUAUUAGGAUGUUCAUAUAUUUUCUGAAAGUGUUUCUGCUGCCUGAGGGUUUGGAGUUUUCGGAGAAGAAAAGUAAGUAGACAGGGAUAUGGGAAAAUCAUCAUGACUUGGAUGGUUUUUGAGAGAGUGCAUGGAAAUAACGUAAGUGGUCAGACUUCACCAGAGGUUGGGUCUUUUUUCCUCCCUAGGAGCCAAUGCAUCACACUACAAGUACAAGCUAUGAGUUUUUGUAGAUGUACCAAUUUGGUGGUCCAUUAUUUACAUGGUUGGUCCAACCAGAAGUAUAAGAUUAUUAUUUUCGCAACUAAUUUGGUUGUGUUACUUUAUUGGUAGAUAUACUUAGAUCUACGAUGUACAGAUAUUUUACUCAAAUAAAUUUAAGUUAAA